CAGCCUGAUGCAGCCAUGCCGCGUGUGUGAAGAAGGCCUUCGGGUUGUAAAGCACUUUCAGUCGUGAGGAAGGUAGUGUAGUUAAUAGCUGCAUUAUUUGACGUUAGCGACAGAAGAAGCACCGGCUAACUCCGUGCCAGCAGCCGCGGUAAUACGGAGGGUGCGAGCGUUAAUCGGAAUUACUGGGCGUAAAGCGCAUGCAGGUGGUUUGUUAAGUCAGAUGUGAAAGCCCGGGGCUCAACCUCGGAAUAGCAUUUGAAACUGGCAGACUAGAGUACUGUAGAGGGGGGUAGAAUUUCAGGUGUAGCGGUGAAAUGCGUAGAGAUCUGAAGGAAUACCGGUGGCGAAGGCGGCCCCCUGGACAGAUACUGACACUCAGAUGCGAAAGCGUGGGGAGCAAACAGGAUUAGAUACCCUGGUAGUCCACGCCGUAAACGAUGUCUACUUGGAGGUUGUGGCCUUGAGCCGUGGCUUUCGGAGCUAACGCGUUAAGUAGACCGCCUGGGGAGUACGGUCGCAAGAUUAAAACUCAAAUGAAUUGACGGGGGCCCGCACAAGCGGUGGAGCAUGUGGUUUAAUUCGAUGCAACGCGAAGAACCUUACCUACUCUUGACAUCCAGAGAACUUUUCAGAGAUGAAUUGGUGCCUUCGGGAACUCUGAGACAGGUGCUGCAUGGCUGUCGUCAGCUCGUGUUGUGAAAUGUUGGGUUAAGUCCCGCAACGAGCGCAACCCUUAUCCUUGUUUGCCAGCGAGUAAUGUCGGGAACUCCAGGGAGACUGCCGGUGAUAAACCGGAGGAAGGUGGGGACGACGUCAAGUCAUCAUGGCCCUUACGAGUAGGGCUACACACGUGCUACAAUGGCGCAUACAGAGGGCGGCCAACUUGCGAAAAGUGAGCGAAUCCCAAA
rnacentral:rRNA from 1 species